AUUAGUGGCGGACGGGUGAGUAACGCGUGGAUAACCUGCCGUAUACGGGGGGAUAACACUUAGAAAUAGGUGCUAAUACCGCAUAAGCGCACGGUUCCGCAUGGAACAGUGUGAAAAACUCCGGUGGUAUACGAUGGAUCCGCGUCUGAUUAGCCAGUUGGCGGGGUAACGGCCCACCAAAGCGACGAUCAGUAGCCGGCCUGAGAGGGUGAACGGCCACAUUGGGACUGAGACACGGCCCAAACUCCUACGGAAGGCAGCAG
rnacentral:rRNA from 1 species